AACUUGUUAAUCUAUUAAAAGAUUUGAGCUUUGAAAGCUCAAUAUAGUAUAGUCUGUACUACAAGUUA
rnacentral:tRNA from 1 species